UUUCUAAUCAGUAUUCACAGAUUGAUUUUAAAUUACAGUGUCUCCUUAUCAAAAACUGCAAUGUGAUGAAACUGAAUAAAGAGUAUAAAGAAAGUCUUGUAAAUUAAAAGUAUUGAUAUGUAAUAUAUUUUCAAACUAAAUAAUGGGUCAAAUAGGAGAACUGAUUUAAACACAGUAAAAUAAUCCACCACCACCAUCAACACAACCAUCAUCAUCAACACUAUCAUCACCACCACCACAAUCAUCUCCAUUAUCACCACAACCACCAUCAUCAUCACCACCACCACCACCAUGAUCAUCACCAUCAUGAUCAUCAUCAUCAUCAUAUUAUGGCCACAUAGAAAGAAGCACACUGAGCUUUUGAUGUGAAAGUCCAU
rnacentral:lncRNA from 1 species